AGUAUAAGCAUUAUACCGCGAAACUGCGAAUGGCUCAUUAUAUAAGUUAUCGUUUAUUUGAUAGUACCUUACUACUUGGAUAACCGUGGUAAUUCUAGAGCUAAUACAUGCUAAAAAUCCCGACUUCGGAAGGGAUGUAUUUAUUAGAUUAAAAACCAAUGCCCUUCGGGGCUCACUGGUGAUUCAUGAUAACUCCUCGAAUCGCAUGGCCUUGUGCCGGCGAUGGUUCAUUCAAAUUUCUUCCCUAUCAACUUUCGAUGUUUGCCUAUUGGCCAAACAUGGUUGCAACGGGUAACGGAGGGUUAGGGCUCGACCCCGGAGAAGGAGCCUGAGAAACGGCUACUACAUCCAAGGAAGGCAGCAGGCGCGCAAAUUACCCAAUCCCGACACGGGGAGGUAGUGACAAUAAAUACUGAUACAGGGCUCUUUUGGGUCUUGUAAUUGGAAUGAGUACAAUUUAAAUCCCUUAACGAGGAACAAUUGGAGGGCAAGUCUGGUGCCAGCAGCCGCGGUAAUUCCAGCUCCAAUAGCGUAUAUUAAAGUUGUUGUGGUUAAAAAGCUCGUAGUUGAACCUUGGGCCUGGCUGGCCGGUCCGCCUCACCGCGUGUACUGGUCCGGCCGGGCCUUUCCCUCUGUGGAACCCCAUGCCCUUCACUGGGUGUGGCGGGGAAACAGGACUUUUACUGUGAAAAAAUUACAGUGCUCCAGGCAGGCCUAUGCUCGAAUACAUUAGCAUGGAAUAAUAGAAUAGGACGUGUGGUUCUAUUUUGUUGGUUUCUAGGACCGCCGUAAUGAUUAAUAGGGACAGUCGGGGGCAUCAGUAUUCAAUUGUCAGAGGUGAAAUUCUUGGAUUUAUUGAAGACUAACUACUGCGAAAGCAUUUGCCAAGGAUGUUUUCAUUAAUCAGGAACGAAAGUUAGGGGAUCGAAGACGAUCAGAUACCGUCGUAGUCUUAACCAUAAACUAUGCCGACUAGGGAUCGGACGGUGUUAUUUUUUGACCCGUUCGGCACCUUACGAGAAAUCAAAGUGCUUGGGCUCCAGGGGGGAGUAUGGUCGCAAGGCUGAAACUUAAGGAAUUG
rnacentral:rRNA from 1 species